GAGGGCGUGCUUGCACUGGACAAUGAGAACUUCGGAUACGCUUGUGGUUACGCGUGCAGUGGUGCUUUUUCUGUCUAGCGAUUGCGCACACAGCUGUCUACUGAAAGUCCCACAGUUGAGCAAAAAACAUGCUACGAGGUUGAAGGAAUUGCCUGCAUAUCUCAGAGAUGGGAUUGUGUUGAGGUACAGAUCUGGAGAAGGCUAGAAAAAAUUCUUGCAGCAUUUAAGGUUCUCGGGAACAUGUUGACCUCUAUAAAUCCUACAUGGAACAUGACUGGAAUAACCACAACUCUUCUUAGAGCUGCCUGCCCUGCCAAAUGAGGAACACAGGUUUCCUGGACUUGGCUGAAGCUUCACUUUCCAAUAGCAAAUGACCCUAACCACAAAGCAAAGACAACAUAGCAAUGACUUAGCGACAGCUCUAGGAAUGUCCAUGCAUGGCUCAGCCAGAGCCGGGACUUGAACCCAAUCAAACACCCCUGGAGAGACCUGAAGAUGGGCAUCCUUUGAUGGUCUCCAACCUGAUAGAGCUUGAGAGGAUCUGCAGAGAAGAUUACUAGAAAAUCCUCAGAUUGAUGUGGGGAAAAAAUUAAAGCAAUUUUAGCACAGGGCUGCAAAAUGUGAAAAAAGUGAAGGGGACUGAGUACUUUCUAAAUCCACAGUAUAUGUUGGUCGGUCAGUAAGUCAUUUUCUAACCUGCUUAGUCCUGAACAGAGUCACAGGGGUCUGCUGGAUAUAUUGGCCAGACAUGUAAUUAAGAGUUUCAGUGUACUCCAUACCAUGCCAAUACUAACACUACUACACUACUACUACUACUACAACAAUCCUGCAGACAACAAUCUGCCAAUUAUUAUUAUAAUAAUUAUUAUUACAUAUUCUGUUUUUUUAAUUAGGUAGUCACAUUAAAAAUCUGUACAAGUAUUGAUUUUUCUUUAUACUUUCCCUUUAUGGGUCUUUUUCUAACUAACUCCCUAACUCUCUGUUUUCUAGUGGGAGAAAAAGACAACUUAUCUUGU